GACGAACGCUGGCGGCGUGCUUAACACAUGCAAGUCGAACGGAAAGGCCCUGCUUUUGUGGGGUGCUCGAGUGGCGAACGGGUGAGUAACACGUGAGUAACCUGCCCUUGACUUUGGGAUAACUUCAGGAAACUGGGGCUAAUACCGGAUAGGAGCUCCUGCUGCAUGGUGGGGGUUGGAAAGUUUCGGCGGUUGGGGAUGGACUCGCGGCUUAUCAGCUUGUUGGUGGGGUAGUGGCUUACCAAGGCUUUGACGGGUAGCCGGCCUGAGAGGGUGACCGGGCACAUUGGGACUGAGAUACGGCCCAGACUGCUACGGGAGGCAGCAGUGGGGAAUAUUGCACAGUGGGCGGAAGCCUGAUGCAGCGGCGCCGCGUGCGGGAUGACGGCCUUCGGGUUGUAAACCGCUUUCGCCUGUGACGAAGCGUGAGUGACGGUAAUGGGUAAAGAAGCACCGGCUAACUACGUG
rnacentral:rRNA from 1 species